UAUCUGCUGUUUCCCUAUAGUAUAAUGCUGCUCUAUAUAUACAUAUAUAUAGACCAGAGUGGGGUUAACUUUCGAUUUCUCGCCGUUGACAAAUUCCUGGCAUUCUCGCUAAUAUUCCUCGCGCGCCUUUCACAUUCACGUAAAAUCCUCCUCAUUUUUCCGACGAGCGGAAAUGGAAAUGGCAUCCAUUGUCAGGGCCAAGUGGGCGAUUCUGCAGGAGGCCUCUUAACUCGGACUUAUGGCCACUUGGCCGCAAUUAAAGCCGGUGCCGCUUUCGUUUGAAUAUUAAUGGGCGCAUUAACCGCAAAUUGCAGCCGGACUGCAGUAAUUACAUUCGUUAAUUUGCAGCACGAAAAAUAUGGCUCAUGAUGGAAAAACAAAAUAAAUAAUAAAGUAUGCAAACAGGUCGAGCCAAAUGUUUAAUUAAAUAGUUAAACUUAAUGCCGAUGGGUGGGUGAGCUCUAAGAAAAUCCUUUGAAGAAUUAACAAUAUGUCUGAUGACAUAAUGAAUUUUCCCCAUUCGAUUCAAGCGCAUCGAACAAUGCAAAUAUUUAUUUAAAUUAGGUAAGUACACCUGAUAAUCGUGAAUUCUAAAACUGUUUCAUAUUUGUAUAAACAACCUGAAAUGUGGAAAUGGAGCCUAAGGGCGGGAUAGUCAAAUGGAGAGACCGAAUGAAUAGAUUUUCAGCACUGCACCAUCGAAAAACAAGUCAAUUGAGAACAUGGCCAAAAGUCAAUUUUCGGCAUAUGGAAUUAUGGAGCGGAUUUAGGGGUCAGUGGCUCGUUUGGUCAUCAUCAAAUGGAAACAGUAAUUUAUGGGGAUUAUUUAUCUGCGUGCGUUGAAGGGGUAAAGUGGAAAAUAGAAAUUGGAAAAUAGAAAACGCAAGAUGAUUCUGUGUAAACAAGCAAAUGUCAGUUUGCAGUCGUCGGGCUGUUGGUAAUUUAUUCUUGAAUUGGGUUAGACAAACGUUUGCUCAGCUGAACUAAUUUGCAAAUUGCGUUCGUAGGUUCUGUGUUACUGUAUUAAUUUUAGCGAAAUGCUAAUAACCUGAGGCGUUUCCUUCUGUUUAAUCAAACUGAUCCCUUAAGUUUGGCCAAUUUCCAGCUAAUUGCCUUAUUUUCAUUUGCAUUUCGGGCUUUGGAAACUCUAGAAGAGCUCAGGAAAAUCUGCACAAUUUCCUCAUCCAAUUGCAAAUAGACAGAGCUGUUCUACAACCCCCCUUUCGACCCCCUUUUCCCUUCUGUCUAGGAGUUCAGAGCCGAGAAAACUACGCAAAACAUUUUGUAAAUUGAAUUUCAUUUGUCGAGAUUUUUGCGGCGCGCUCCAAUGUAAUUGAAAUAAAUUCUCAAUAGAAUAUCCGGCCAAAGUUGGCGGAAGCCUAUGGCAGGCAAUGAAAUUAUUUGUUUGUUGUUCUGGCGGCGAUGUAACGCUCUGCAAAAUCCAAAUCCGAAAUCCAGGGGAUUUCAAGACGCUGAGCAAUGGGCGAAUUUCCGUUGCGGCAGGUCAAAGAAUUGGAUUCGAAGGAGCGUUUUUCGAUUUGAUCUGGAUAAAUAAAUAGAAGGGCAAAGUGUUUGAAAAUUAAAUGAAAUAUAUGCCAGUCAUAAAGCGGAUUUUCGCCAGAGGGAGACAGCGCGAGCGGAGCGACAGAGAAGGCAAACCGCUCGGCGAAAUAAAUGGCACGUUCAUCAUACGCCCCGUGUACACAAUUUGGCAGCUUUAUUUAUAUACCGCAGCAUGAAUGCUGUAGCAUAUACGCCGCACAUAUUCGCCUUAUGUUUUCACGCAAAACGUUUGCUUUUCAAUUAUAUAAACAUAUUCGAUUGUAUUCAGUGUUCAGUGCUCAGUGGCGGGGCCAGUGUGUGCAUUAAAAUUAUAAAUUGUUUGAACAGCCAAGGCACAAAUAAAUAAAACACAGAACCGCGAACGAGGCGAAGCGAACCGAAAAAUGAAAGCGAAGCGCAUAAAUAACUGACCAAAUGUACUCGAAAUUUGGAAGGUGUGGGCUUUCCUCUCUUUUCCGAGGGGUGGAGGUGGUGCCUGGGAAAAUCUCCUUGGGAACUGCAACAAGUGAAUGGAAGCUAAGCGAGCGUCAAAGGCCAAGAGACGCCUGACAUUGAAAUGUCGUCUUGUUGUGUCACGCCUUUCAACCAAACCAACACACACUUCGCCAUGCACUGCGAGAAAUACUAGGGGAGUGGCCCUUUUUAAUAAAAGGAGAUAUUCCCUUCCCUACUCCAAACCUAUCUCUUGUUUCCACAAUUUGGGUAAAAAACCUAUCCGGUAUAUGGCUAGAUUAGUUACGAAUAAUACAAUAAUAUCUUCUCCCAAAAUGUUUCCAGUGUACUCACACACACACUUUCAACACACGUUUCAGUGGCUGCCAGUGAAAUAUUUGUUUGGACUUCAAGAGGCGCCACCGCGUUGACAGCUGUCAAUGAAAAGGGGGUGAAGGGCGCAGGGACCUGUGGGAGUGGCUGGUGGUGCGGUCGGUGGUGCAGGCGGCGGGAUAGUGGGUGGUGCAGAGACAGCUGUCCCUGCGCUGAUUAGCGCUGUGGCUGGCCGCAUUUGCGGAGUGCGCUGGCGAAAUUCAAAACAAUUUAAUAUGCCAGCAAGCACAAUAAAAUCAUCGGGAAAAUCGCUGCGGUCCACGACAGCCAGCGGAAUAUCUGUGGCCAGGCUAAUCGGGCGGAAAACUCUGAAUGCUUUUCCCCGAAAAUCCGUUCGGAGCUGAGCUGGCCCCUCACGGAUUCCAAUUAAUCUCCGUUCAAUAUUAUGAUGUCUAAUCAAGAGAAUCCUGGACGGGACAGCAGGACAAUGGGCGUUGGAGGCCACAGGAAAUUCCAUUAUCCCAGCUUGUCCACCAAUCUCCGCAUGGGGCGCAUGUGUAAUAUGGCUGUGCUGCCCGGUUAUGUGAGUUUACGGCUUGUUGCACAAAUUAGCAUGCCCCAUUUGAUUGGAACGGCGGAGCUGAGCAAAGAUUUGCUUAACUACAUUCCAGUCGGCAGGAAUAAUAUGGCCGAGCUUUCCGACCGCAAAGUUGCUCGUUUGGGUGUUUAUUAAAUAGUGCAUUUCCAUGAUGUUUGCAUUUAAUGGGGCAUAAUCAGAUAAUUUAAUAAUGGCAAAUUUGGCGUAUUUGAUUUUGAAUUUUCAGUGACAUAGAUUGCGAGUUAGAUUUUGUUGAAACUAAUCAAUCAGAGUUCAAUCGCUGGCGGGCUUCUAUGAAUAUUUUAUUCACUUUAUUCAUUCUCUUUAAUAUUUAUUGUUUAGUCUAUAAGCAAAUACCCACAGUUUGAACCAAACCCUGUACCGCACAAAUUCCCGUCGUUUAAUGAGCGAAUCAAAUCAGGAAACAACGGUGAAAUCAACUGUGAAAUUUAUGACAGUUUUCCGCUUCGCCUCGAAUUAAGGAUAACGAAAAGCAGUGGGGGAGUGGGUGGUGGGGAAAGUGCCGGCGUAUCUCCGACUUUAUUUAACUAAUUUUGCAUUUUCAACUCAAACUCGACUUCGGUCACGUACCCCUGCGGCUGGAACUUUGACCUGUUAAGCGCAUAAAAAUGACAAAAACGGACCUAUCUUUUUGGAGCACUCUGUGGAUGCACGCACAUGUGCUCCCCAUCACAGCUGCUCGUGAUCCUUUGGCGACGAGAAAUCAGCGCUCAAAUAUGAUUAAUAAGUAAUUUCUUUGUCAACAAGUGACUGGGGAUGGCCUGCUAUGACGACAGCGGCGAUAACGACAACUAGAAUGAGAAUGGAACGACGCCAUGGAAAUCUUUAAUAAAAUACAUGCAUAAAUAAAUUAUAGGGCAAACAGAGGCGAGGAAAAACAAACUGGAUGGAGAUGAACUGCUCCGAAUGGAGGCGAACUGGUAAUAAAACAAAGCGGUGACGGCAAAGAUACACAGAUACAAGAUACAAAGGGGUGACAUGUGCAGCCGAGGCGUGACCGCACUUCCCUUUUUUCCGGGCAUAUAUACAGGAACCCCUCCCUCCACAUUGCCUUUUCCCAGCCACUUUUCAGAGCUCCUUGGCCUUGGCGUUUCCCUGUUUAUUUCACAGUUGUAAAUUGCACAAAGUAAAUGAAGUGCUUUUUAUUAUAAUCCAACAAGCUAACGUUGCCUGUCUUGAGCACAGUGAGAAAAGGAAUAUCUCAAAAUGUUAUUAGAUUAUGGAAGAUAUAGGUUAUCUGCAAUAUAUAAAGUUCAAAUAGCACAGCGCAAAAUCGAAUUAAACUCUGCAGCUUGCUGUGUUGAAUUGAUUGCCUA
rnacentral:sRNA from 1 species